UUAAUUUUUUGACAAAAUGGGCUAUUUAAGUCAAAAGCACAAGAUUGAAAUCUUAAUGAUGAUUGAGUACGAAGAUAGAACAAGAACCCAAAAUGAAGUUUUAUAUUUAUUCAGACAGAAGUAUCCUGAUUUAUCACCCAUAUCUCAAAGUACUAUAAGCACGAUUGAAAAAGAGUUUCGGGAAAAUGGUCACGUAAGAACAAUAACUAGUUCUCGUCGAUCUGCACUUAAUGAAGACACCAAAAUUCAUGUGUUAUUAGCCAUUAUAGAAAAUCCUAAUAUUCCCACUAGGCAGGUAGCGCGCGAAUUGGAAGUGAGCCAGUCUUUAGUAGUAAAGGUUCUUGAAGCAGAAAAAUUUCAUCCCUAUAAACUUAAAAUUCUCCAGGAACUCAAUGAGGAGGAUGAAGAUAGAAGAAUUGAUUUUUGUGAACAAUUUAUGAAAUUAAUGCAGAAUAAUAAUCUUAUUACAGAAACAUUCUGAUUUAUGCUGAACGGAGAAGUAAAUCGUCAAAAUUGCCGUUAUUGGGCACAAGAAAAUCCAUGUUGGAUGAGGCAAGGCCAGACUUAACACCCAGAAAAAGGAAAUGUUUAGGCAGGAAUUCUAGGCCAGCAAGUUAUAGGCCCAAUUUUCAUCGAAGAAAAUUUAAAUGGAGCAAGUAGCUGAUAUGCCGAAUAGAAAUAUCUGGUUUCAGCAAGAAGGUGGGCCUUUUGCUAAAACCACAUUUUGGAAGACCUAUUCGAAACUAUCUAGAUACUAUUUUUCCAGGCAGAUGGAUUGGCAGGAGAGGACCUUUUAAAUGGCCACCAAGAUCGACCGAUUUGACUCUGCUGGAUUUAGGGCACUGCCAAAUAGUAAAUGGUUUACAUUUUAAAUAAAAAGAUUUAAAAGAA